AACGAACGCUGGCGGCAUGCCUAACACAUGCAAGUCGAACGAGACCUUCGGGUCUAGUGGCGCACGGGUGCGUAACGCGUGGGAACCUGCCCUUAGGUUCGGAAUAACUCCCCGACAGGGGUGCUAAUACCGGAUAAUGUCUUCGGACCAAAGAUUUAUCGCCUUUGGAUGGGCCCGCGUUGGAUUAGCUAGUUGGUAGGGUAAAAGCCUACCAAGGCGACGAUCCAUAGCUGGUCUGAGAGGAUGAUCAGCCACACUGGGACUGAGACACGGCCCAGACUCCUACGGGAGGCAGCAGUGGGGAAUAUUGGACAAUGGGCGAAAGACUGAUCCAGCAAUGCCGCGUGAGUGAUGAAGGCCUUAGGGUUGUAAAGCUCUUUUACCCGGGAUGAUAAUGACAGUACCGGGAGAAUAAGCUCCGGCUAACUCCGUG
rnacentral:rRNA from 1 species